ensembl:snoRNA
CUUCCCAAAGAUGAAUGAAGGAGUAUUGAUGAAUGCCAACCGCUCUGACGGUGGAAG